rnacentral:rRNA from 1 species
UACGUAGGGUGCAAGCGUUGUCCGGAAUUAUUGGGCGUAAAGCGCGUGUAGGCGGCUUUGCAAGUCGGGUGUGAAAGCCCUCGGCUCAACCGAGGAAGUGCGCCCGAAACUGCAGAGCUUGAGUACCGGAGAGGAUGGCGGAAUUCCCCAAGUAGAGGAGAAAUUCGUAGAUAUGGGGAGGAACACCGGUGGCGAAGGCGGCCAUCUGGACGGAUACUGACGCUGAGACGCGAAAGCGUGGGGAGCAAACAGG